rnacentral:lncRNA from 1 species
UUCCUGCCGCCAGCUCCUUAUUCUCCAUCUUCUUCCCCUCUCUCAGCUAAGCCUCUGAAGUUUCAGUAGUUUAGGUUCAGAGAGACAGCGCCUCCGGCUGCCACCCUUCCUCCUCGUCCCCGGCAGCUCCUCCGGGUGGAUCAAGAGCGCAGGGAGGAUGCAGGAUCCUCCCCCAUUCCAUUUUCGUCGCUAGGAGGUGGGAUCCUCCUCCCUGGCCUCGGCCCCGCGUCGUCGUCGCCGGAGCAGAGCAUCGGGUCACUGGCUCUGCCUUGCCUCUUCUUCCUCUAUGUCGGGCCGGUCCUACUCCUCGUCGUGCUUGGGUGAGUGCAGCCCCUUCUCCUCCGCCUUUCCCCCUUCCUCUGCAGCCCCACUCGCGCCGUGUAGCAUCGCCAGUGUUGCUUGUUCUCGAGCAGCAGCAGCCGGAUCAGAGUAGUAGCGCAGCGGCAGUAGAAGCAGCAACGCAUGCAUGGCACGAGUGCAGCGGGUUCUCUUCUCACGUGCUUGCGUCGGGAAUGGAUUCCCCUCGAAGUCAUGCAGCCCCGCCGGUGCCCCACCUCGCCGGGAGUGGCCCCGCUUGCUUCUACCGGCGUCCUUCUUCAGUCAUUCGUCAGGUAGAAGAAGAUCCGAGGGGUGAGGCUAAGUGAUCUUGAGCCCUUGUUCUAGCAGAUCCUGCUUGCUAGCCCAGUGGUAACACCCUCGGGGUUGCAACCGUGAGGUUGACGGUUCGAUCCCUGCAACUCCCCUCUUUUUCCCUUAUUUUCCUUCAUCUCGUGGAUUAGUUGCAGUGUUACCUUACCUAGCGUGUUGCCUCUUUUUGAACAGCUACCCGCGCACAUCCCAGUAGUCAAGGUGUGUGUGUGAUGUGGUGAUGUAGUGGGUUUGACCCCCACUACUCUCAAUUCAUUUUUCUUUGCUAAUUGUAGUGGUGCGCCACUGACCAGUGGGCCACAGGGCCCACCUGUCAUGCACUAGGGGCCCUGGUGUCUAUGACCAGUGGGGCCCCAUGUUAGUUUGUGUUUGUUUUACUUGGUGCUAGGAGCCUUUCCAUCUUAGGUAUUAGUUCAUUUAGGGAAAAGGCCAGAUUUGGCAUAUUCCAUAUAGCUAGAGUGAUGUUCUUUUGGGCUGCUUCAUAGGUAAAUAUGGUAGUGGCUGAACCCCUCUACAACUUGGUACAUAUUUGUUGUUCAUAGGUUUUUGCAUGUUAUUAUUACACCUUGUCAAAGUGGGCACUUGAGUGAAAAUGACAGUGUUGAGAAAAACUGUGAAUUUCACUAAAGUCUGUGAUAUUUUGUCCAAGUUAGAGGCUGUAUAUCUGUUGAGUGUGAUUUCUUUGCCUUAGAUUAUUGUUAGAGGUUAUAAUGCAGUUAGAUGGCUUCAGUUUCAUGUCUUGUUUGGAUUAUUUAGAGGGUUGUAACUAUUGUAGAUCUUGUGGUCAAAGUUCUAUGUUGCUGUUAAAAAUAGAUUGUUGUCAAACUGAGUUUUGAGCUUAUGGGAGCUAUGGGUGGUGGUUUUGUGUGUCCUCAAACACCAACCCACUUGUAUUUUGGUGCUUGCUCAUAUGGCAACCUGGUUACACCAGUGAGUGCCCAUAUAAUUGUGUUUGUGGCUGUUUUGAAUCCGUAGGCCUUCGUAGCUUGAUCUAUAGUUUCCGGUUGAUCCGAGACUCCGUUCACGAUGUUCUUCAUAGGUUUUUUGCAUCAUUUUAUCGUGAUGGAUAUGAUUAUGCCAUGUUCAUGUAUGUCAAGAUAAAUUAACAUGAGGUUCUGUACAGAAUAUAAACAACUCAACUAAUGCAUGUGAAAGUGACUAGAAUAGUGAUGCAUGCCUUCUUCUUCACACAUGCAUCAUAUUGGUUGUUGCAUUAUGUUGUUCCGGUGUUUAUUUGCUGUUAUCUUAUCUUUGGGUAGCACCGGGAACGGAGAGCGAGUACGUGGAUUCUGGAGAGUUCGUGCAGGAAGAACAAGAGCAGUUCCAGCCUGAUGAAAUUACACGCAAGAUGACCGUGCCCUUGACACCGUUUCUAGCUUUGUUAUGCUUAGAGUUACGUGUCCUUCAUUACAUGCCCAAUGCCUAACACAUGAUAAAUAUGCCAUCCAACUUUGCCAUGAACCUCAAACACUUCCCUUUCGUAGCAAAUAUUGUUUGCCAAAGUAGGCUUGCUCAACUACUAAUGGGUAGCAUUGCUAGUUGCAUGUGCCAGCUGGCCCAUGUGAUAACAUGGGAAAUUUGAUAUCUUUAUAUUAUCUGUUAUUUAGUUAAUGCACCUAUAAACUUGGUAAAUAACGGAAGUACUAUCCUUUUGCCGGGUGAUUUGUUCCGUUGUUGUCGCCUUAGUUUCGGCUACCGAUGUUUUGUUCCAUAACUGAGCGCUCCUAACACGUUUGGGGUUGUUAUGGGGACGCCCUUGAUAAAUCGUGUAGUGUUAAGACUUGUCUGGCAGGACCCAAAUUUGGUUUUAAUUGCUACAACUCAAUAAUAAAAAUGCAUAGGGAAUAGCUACCCCGAGGAGUGAAUUAACAACCAGGGCCAGUGCUCCUCAUGAGUGUUGGUCCAAACUGGACUGCCUGUGGAGCCACCGCGAGGAAACUUGAGGUUUGGUUCCCGUAGCUAGUUCCAUCCGUCCUGUCCUGAGACUGAGAUACGCGGCUCUUAUCGGGGUCGUCGACACGUCGGGCAGUCUUGCUGGAUUAGUCUUACCUUAGCGAUAUAUCUUGCGCAUUGGGAUCCCGGUGAAACUUUGGGUGUCCUCAAAGUUGAGGUUUUCCUCCAAGGAAUCCGAUGUGAUCACGAGUUUCGUGAUAGAGGAUUACUAUGCGUCAUGUGGUAAUUUGUGAUGGACUAGUUGGAGCACCCCUGCAGGGUUUAAUCUUUAGAAAAGCCGUGCCCACGGUUAUGUGGCAAAUAUGGAUAUUUUGUUAACAUUCGGUUCUAGGCAUCUUAAAGUAAUUCUAAUAAAAUUGCCAACAGAGUGCGUAACCGUGACUGUCUCUUUGAGAGCUCCUUCUCUGAUCGAGAACACGGUGGGGUUAUGUUCGACGUAAGUAGUUGUUCAGGAUCACUUAGUGAUCAAUCUAGUCUUCACCGACUUGCGUAGGCCACCGUAUAUUACUCGGAUCAUCGUAAGGUAGCCACCAUAUAAGCUUAGGUUGCUGCAUACCCAUACACUUAACCUUCCUUACCCAUUAACUCGGCUAGAUUCGAUACCAAGGUCAUUCGAUUGCUGAGUCCUCGUGGCUCACGGUUUACUACAAACACCCACAGGUACAGGUACGCCUGAUGCAGGAGAUCCUGAUGAGAACUACUUGAAGUGGGAGUUCGAUAAGGACUCUGGCAGACUGUACGUGACUUAUUCGGAGGACUAGAGGUCGUGGUGUGAUCGUGGGCCCAACAUGCGGGAUAUCAUAGCUUUAUCUGUUUUCAUCUUGUCCGUAGCUGGACCAUGCCAUGUUCUGAAUAAGUGUGCAUGUAUGAUGAUACGUCUCCAUCGUAUCUACUUUUCCAAACUCUUUUGCCCUUG